CACUGAGAAGCUUUAACAUAGCAUCAGCCUUUUAAGUUGAAGAAGAAACCACCAUUUCCUUAGUGA
rnacentral:tRNA from 1 species